UUGCACUUGUUUUGUUGUAGGCCUCUCUAAUUCCAGUAGUGUGGCCAUGAGCCUAGGGUGCAUAGAGUAAAAGCUGUUUAUCAGCAGUGGCCAGACAACCGUAGAGAUGAAUCCACAGAUGAGUGAUUAAAAAUGCCACUUGUCUACUGAUUUCAUCUCACAUCU